UGGCAUAAUCCAAGAGACCUACUGGUGA
rnacentral:piRNA from 1 species